rnacentral:rRNA from 1 species
GACGAACGCUGGCGGCGUGCUUAACACAUGCAAUUCGAACGGAAAGGCCCUGCUUUUGUGGGGUGCUCGAGUGGCGAACGGGUGAGUAACACGUUAGUAACCUGCCCUUGACUUUGGGAUAACUUCAGGAAACUGGGGCUAAUACCGGAUAGGAGCUCCUGCUGCAUGGUGGGGGUUGGAAAGUUUCGGCGGUUGGGGAUGGACUCGCGGCUUAUCAGCUUGUUGGUGGGGUAGUGGCUUACCAAGGCUUUGACGGGUAGCCGGCCUGAGAGGGUUACCGGCCACAUUGGGACGGAGAUACGGCCCAGACUCCUACGGGAGGCAGCAGUGGGGAAUAUUGCACAAUGGGCGGAAGCCUGAUGCAGCAAAGCCGCGUGAGGGAUGACGGCCUUCGGGUUUUAAACCGCUUUCGCCUGUGACGAAGCGUGAGUGACGGUAAUGGGUAAAGAAGCACCGGCUAACUACGUG